GAGAAUGCCGGUGUGAGUAGCGAAAGACGGGUGAGAAUCCCGUCCACCGAUUGACUAAGGUUUCCAGAGGAAGGCUCGUCCGCUCUGGGUUAGUCGGGUCCUAAGCUGAGGCCGACAGGCGUAGGCGAUGGAUAACAGGUUGAUAUUCCUGUACCACCUAUAAUCGUUUUAAUCGAUGGGGGGACGCAGUAGGAUAGGCGAAGCGUGCGAUUGGAUUGCACGUCUAAGCAGUAAGGCUGAGUAUUAGGCAAAUCCGGUACUCGUUAAGGCUGAGCUGUGAUGGGGAGAAGACAUUGUGUCUUCGAGUCGUUGAUUUCACACUGCCGAGAAAAGCCUCUAGAUAGAAAAUAGGUGCCCGUACCGCAAACCGACACAGGUAGUCAAGAUGAGAAUUCUAAGGUGAGCGAGCGAACUCUCGUUAAGGAACUCGGCAAAAUGACCCCGUAACUUCGGGAGAAGGGGUGCUCUUUAGGGUUAACGCCCAGAAGAGCCGCAGUGAAUAGGCCCAAGCGACUGUUUAUCAAAAACAC
rnacentral:rRNA from 1 species